rnacentral:lncRNA from 10 species
CAGCUGCCCUUCUGCCCCCCUUUGUCUCCCAACUGAGCGACACAGCUUGAAGCAGAUGAAGGAAGAUUUCACCAUGGUAAGGAACCUGCGGCCCACGAGUCUAAGUAUCUUGCCCCAGAUCAAAAAGGGGUGAGUGUCAGAGCCAGAAGACCCCUGGUUCCCUGAUUCUUGUUUGAAGCUUUUUGCAGUACAUUGUGAAGCUACUUCAGAUCUGGAUUCUACUUGAGGACAGUAUAUGAAAGGACGUGUUGAUGGAAAGUUGAAGUUAAAGGACAGUAGGCAGAAGCCUAUCAGAAGGUAAGAAGGAGAAAACAAGCCAGCACAAAAAUCCUUCUUCCCCAUUCAAUCACUGAACUUUUCUCAGACUCCUUUGAUUCCUUUUUCCAGUCUUUGCAUUUGUACCUCUUUAAAAGCCUUCUCAUGACUUUCGAAGAAGUCCCAUUCAUAUUAAUUUCCCAUUUGUCAAAUGGCCCAACUCCUUUAAAAUCUUUUUCAAAAUGUUAUCUUUUAUUGGAAACUUACUACAAUAAUACAAAAAUACCUGACAUUUAUUGAAUGGUCUGCCUGUGCUCCGAAGUGAAGACCACAGAUUGAUGGCCACCUAUCACCAUCACAUAGCUACUCCUCCCUCACAAAGCCAGAUAUGCACUGUGACUGUAUUCUUCCUGUGGCACUGACUGUUCUAAAGAGCGUGGAGUUUGAAGUUAGUCUAAGCUCAAGUCCUGGCUCCACAUCUUAAUAGUCAUGCCUCAUUGGGCAUGACUAUUGACUUUGUUUAGUUUCCAUCUGUGAAAUGGAAAUAGUAAUACUAAAGAUUUCAUUGAUUAAGUUAACUCCUGUAAAGCAUUUAGAAUUGCCACUGUUUAGUUUAUCUAUUAUCAUUAGUUUAUAUUUAGUUAUUCAACUAAAUUCCACAUCUAGACAGAAAGCUCACUGAAAACAGGAACCAUGUUUGACUUACUUUGGUAUGUUUAGUUCCUAGCAUAGUGUUUACUUAAAAGAGAUUGUGAUUUGUAAUGCAGUCUUUCUGGCAUGCUUAACAAACAUAUUUCCUCUUCCUGGGCAUACAGCUAAAUUACAGUUCCUGGCCCUUUGCAGCAGGACGAAGCCACGUGACCAGUUCUCACCAAUGAAAUGUGAACUGAAAUGUCACUUGUGACUUCUGGGCUACAGCAGUUAAGAAUGAGUAUGCUUUCUUCAUGUUUGUUUCCUUUCUUUCCAACUUGCUGGUUGGAUGUUAAAUUCCAUGUAUUGGAAAUGGUAGGGCCUCCAUUAGCCUGGCUCUCCAAAUAACUUUGGGCCCCCUCCACUCUUUGCAACCUGCACUGAACUAUAAGAUGAGAAAGGAGAAAACGCCUUUGAUAUGUUGAGCCACUUAAAUUUUGCAAUUGUUCAUUACAGCAAUUAGCCUUCCCUGGUUAGUAAAGUCCCUGUGAGCCAGGUAUACCAUGUAAAAGAAGAAAAAGGUAAACAGCCAUUGAGAAAGGGGUUCUUGUUGUCAGUCUUUCUGGCAGCACUUCUUCCAGAAAUCGCUUUUUCUUCCCAGAAUCACAGGUAUAAAGUACGUUAAGCCUCUUAAUAUAUUUUACGAGUGUCCACAGAAAAUUUUGUUUGAGCAAAGGUUUUUAAGGUGAGUUUUAAAGCCAUUGCAUUAUAGAAUAAAAUCUGUUCUUUUCUUUAUAAUCAUAGCAUAUUUUAGACAUUAAAUCAAUAUUAAAUAAACAAUGCAUCAAGCUAUAAAGAAACCACAAUUUUUCUGUCUGCCUUAUUUGAACCUUAAAAAAGAUAGACUUUAAUGUAAAAGAUUUCAUCCUAGUAUUUUAUUAUGUAAAAGCACACAAGAUUUCUCAGUUGACAACCUAAUGACCUGGCAUUCAAAGCUCCUCAUCUUCUGCCCCACCUUAUGUCAAUCUUGAAGACAGUAUGGUAUC